GAUCCUGGCUCAGGAUGAACGCUAGCUACAGGCUUAACACAUGCAAGUCGAGGGGCAGCAUGGUCUUAGCUUGCUAAGGCCGAUGGCGACCGGCGCACGGGUGAGUAACGCGUAUCCAACCUGCCUUACACUCUUGGACAGCCUUCUGAAAGGGAGAUUAAUACAAGAUGUUAUCAUGAGUAAGCAUUUUCGCAUGAUUAAAGGUUUACCGGUGUAAGAUGGGGAUGCGUCCA
rnacentral:rRNA from 1 species